CCUACGGGGGGCUGCAGUGGGGAAUAUUGGACAAUGGGCGAAAGCCUGAUCCAGCCAUGCCGCGUGUGUGAAGAAGGCCUUCGGGUUGUAAAGCACUUUCAGUGGGGAAGAAAGCCUUGGGGCUAAUACCCUCGAGGAAGGACAUCACCCACAGAAGAAGCACCGGCUAACUCCGUGCCAGCAGCCGCGGUAAUACGGAGGGUGCGAGCGUUAAUCGGAAUUACUGGGCGUAAAGCGCGCGUAGGCGGUCUGAUAAGCCGGUUGUGAAAGCCCCGGGCUCAACCUGGGAACGGCAUCCGGAACUGUCAGGCUAGAGUGCAUGAGAGGAAGGUAGAAUUCCCGGUGUAGCGGUGAAAUGCGUAGAGAUCGGGAGGAAUACCAGUGGCGAAGGCGGCCUACUGGACUGACACUGACGCUGAGGUGCGAAAGCGUGGGUAGCAAACAGGAUUAGAUACCCCAGUAGUC
rnacentral:rRNA from 1 species